CAAUUCCGCAGGGGCUAGUUUUUGCCUCACUUUCCCCGCAACCAAACAACUUGAUCAUCUCUCUCAGGUCAGGUUACUUUAUUUUCACAGCACCUAAAGAUUCCCUUCCUUUCUAUACACUCACACACCAGUCGCCUCUUCAACCAUACAAACCCCUUUCCAUUGAAAGAAAAAACACCAUGAAACCUCCCUAAAAGAACUAACGCACCCAGAUCAAAUCCGAACCCACUAUGGAUUUCGUGGAGCUGGAGGCGAUCGAGGGACUGCGUUGGUCCUGGAACGCAUGGCCCACGACAAGAAAAGAAGUAACGUCCCUCAUAAUUCCACUUAGCAUCAUGUGCACGCCACUGAUGCAAUCUUCGGAGCUCCCAAUUCUCCCCUACGAACCCCUUACCUGUACUCGGUGCGGUGCUGUCUUAAACCCUUACGCUCGCGUGGAUUACCAGUCUCGCAUUUGGGGCUGUCCCUUCUGUUACCAGAAAAAUUCUUUUCCAAUAUCUUAUUCGGGUAUUGGCGAAGCUAAUCUUCCAGCUGAGCUUUUCCCUACUUAUAGCACCGUAGAAUACAAAAUCGAUAAGAUCGAUGCCAAAUUUGCUUCCAGUUCGCAUUUGGGUUAUAGUUAGGCAAAUGGGUUGUCUUCAUCUAAUGCGUUCUUGUCUUCGAUGGCAUCAUUGGGGACUCCGAGAAUGUCAGCUGGUGUAGGUGCUGGUGGGGAGUUGAAGGGGAUUGGACCUGCGUUUGUGUUUGUGGUGGAUGCUUGUACGGAGGAGGAGGAGCUGAGGGCGGUUAAAAAUGAGCUCUUGUUGGUCAUUGAGCAGUUGCCAGAAAAUGCGCUGGUGGGCUUGGUUUCGUUUGAUUCAAUGGUUAGGGUUUAUGAACUGGGAUUCUCAGAGUGCUCGAGGGUGGUGGUUUUUCAUGGUGAACGUGAAGUUUCUUCAGACCAGAUACAACAAUUUAUGGGUAUACAUUGCACCAAAUUGCUGCAACUUGGAAAAAACCCAUUUGUUCAGAAUCAGGGAUUUUUGCUGCCUAUAUCUGAAUGUGAAUUCAAUAUCACUAAAGAAAUUGAAGAAAUUUGUUCCUUAGCAGUAGUCAUGCCAGGUCAUCGCCCUCAAAGGUGCACUGGAGCAGCAAUAUCAGUUGCACUUGGACUUCUUGAAGGAUGUUCAGUGCAUACAGGCUCCCGGAUUAUGGUCUUCACUUCUGGACCUGCAACUUUGGGCCCAGGGAUGAUUGUGGACUCAGACCUUAGUAAUGCCAUCAGAACUCAUAGAGACCUCAUCAAUGGUCAUACUUCUUACCAUAGAAAAUCUUGCAGCUUCUAUAGUCGGUUGUCUCAAAGAUUAUCUGAUGCAUCUGUUGUUCUUGAUUUAUUUGCUUGUUCCCUUGAUCAAGUAGGAGCAGCAGAGCUAAAAGCUCCUGUUGAGAGGUCUGGUGGAUUCAUGAUGUUAGGAGAUUUAUUUGAGUCAGAUCAAUUCAGAAAGUGCUUGCGGCAUAUUUUUGGUCGUGAUGAAGAGGCGAGUUUGAAGAUGUAUUUUGAUGCUACUAUUGAGGUGAUCACCACAAAAGAUGUAAAAAUCAGUGGAGCACUUGGACCCUGUGUUUCUCUUCAGAAAAAAAAAAAAAAGGUUUAGUGAGUGACCAUGAGACUGGGGAGGGUGGCACUUAUGCAUGGAAGUUGGGCACACUAGCUAAUAAAAUAUGCAUAACUUUCUUCUUUGAAGUGGGCGAUGAACAGAAAGCCCAUCCUGGGUCUGCCUUUUUUUAUACAGUUUAUAACACACCACCGACAUGGAAACAUGGGAAUCUGGAAAAGGGUUACCACAGCUGCAAGAAGAUGAUGGACUCCAAAAAGGAAUGCAAUUUCAUUCGCACUUAAAGACAGAAUGCUUCAUUCCAUGCAUGUCUCAAUCUCCUGAUGAAAUCCAACAGCCGCAAGGAGCAAUGGCGGGAAAGAUGAUGCGCAUAAUGUAUUCCCAUAAUCAUCAUCCAGAAAAAAGAUAAAGAAAUCAGUAAGCACUGGUUCUUCAUAUCUAGUUUGAACAAGGAUAUUCUAAUGGAGAUUCUUAGCCGGGUUCCUUGGAAAUUGGUGAGAUAUGAAUGUGUAAACAAGCAUUGGCGCAAUCUCAUUGAAUGGCUGGACCCCUUUUCGACAACACAACAGGGAAGAAGCAACAACAUGAGGUGAUACUGGUUCUGUUUCAACAAAGAACUGGACUUUUUACCUUGCUAUCCUGUAUAUAUUCAUUUUAAUUUGUGCUGUCGCUAAGCAUGAUGACAAGUACUAUGUCUGCAACCCUAUUACUAAUCAUGUUGUUGUAAUCCCAGAACCACAGAGGCACAGUCAAUUUUCCAGUAUUGAAAUUUAUGUUGGUAAGGCAAGCGAUCAAAUUCAAAAUUGUGAUAAUUCCAAUACAUCUAGUGUCUGAUUUUGAGCAACUAAACAAUUUGUGAACGAAGUUGCAUGUACACAUCAUCCGCAAACGAGUGGAAAUCCAUCUAUUGCAGUGUGAGUAAUGGUUGUUAUGUUGAUUUGUGCAAUAAUAUCUCGCAGGCGGUUGAAGCGGGAAAAUCUCUGUAUUGGUUGGACAAGGUGGUGGCCAUUGUUGUCUAUGAUGUUGCGACAGAGCGCAUAAUGGUGAAGAAAGCUACCGCGUGAGUGUAAUCUGUGUAGAGAUGGGUAUUUGGGUGCGCUUAGGGACAUGCUUCGAUUUGAAAUGAAUUGUUGUGGGUGCUCUCUGUGGGUUUGGGAACUUCAGCUGAAUGGAAAUUGGCUGCUAGUCCAAUCAGUCUCCAUUUGGCCAUUGUCAGAACUGCAUUUUCCUUGCAUGUAUUAGUGCUUCCUGGGAGCUCAACCUUGGCAAAGACUUGACGGUUAUUGGUUUCCAUUCUACCAAACUAGAUGUGAUGUUCCUUUAUGGUAUUGGGAGUAUUUUAUCUUACAAUUGUACAACAAACUGGGCAGAGAUUGACUAUUAUGUUAAGUAUUAUUAUUUAUUAUUUAUUUUUUAAUUAUAAUUAUGAAAAAUUUUAA
rnacentral:misc_RNA from 1 species